AGUGAACGCUGGCGGUAGGCCUAACACAUGCAAGUCGAACGGCAGCACAGUAAGAGCUUGCUCUUACGGGUGGCGAGUGGCGGACGGGUGAGGCAUACAUCGGAAUCUACUUUUUCGUGGGGGAUAACGUAGGGAAACUUACGCUAAUACCGCAUACGGCCUACGGGUGAAAGCAGGGGAUCUUCGGACCUUGCGCGAUUGAAUGAGCCGAUGUCGGAUUAGCUAGUUGGCGGGGUAAAGGCCCACCAAGGCGACGAUCCGUAGCUGGUCUGAGAGGAUGAUCAGCCACACUGGAACUGAGACACGGUCCAGACUCCUACGGGAGGCAGCAGUGGGGAAUAUUGGACAAUGGGCGCAAGCCUGAUCCAGCCAUACCGCGUGGGUGAAGAAGGCCUUCGGGUUGUAAAGCCCUUUUAUUGGGAAAGAAAAGCAGCAGGUUAAUACCCCGCUGUUCUGACGGUACCCAAAGAAUAAGCACCGGCUAACUUCGUG
rnacentral:rRNA from 1 species